UGAAGAAAUAACAGUACCACGUCUGCCAAAGAUGUUCUCCCUGCUUGAUGAGUAGCCUCUGAAAUGAUCAACAAAAUUAUUUCUUAUAUCCUUUCUUAACUUUUCUACCGUAGCAUAGUACAUUCUGGGGAUAUGAUCCACUAUAUCCCGAAAUUUAGGAAAAAAUCAAUAUUUGAUGAAUAACACAGUAAAUCCUUUUUAUUUUUCUCUCUCAAGUCCAUGAAUGUCCUGAUCUGUACGAUGAGGAAAUUGCUUAUUAAACUUUCCUUUUAUUCUAACAGCACCUGAAGAACAUUGCCCUCCAGGAGCCCUCUGUUGCAGUUGCACAAGCAAUGGUCUAAUUUCAGACAUGAGGGCUUAUGAACUGAAGGAAUAUUUUCCUUUUCCUUCUCCUUACAGUUUUGGAAAUCUUUUUCCCAAAAGAGCUAAUUUAUAGCAAACCACCCUCCUGUGCCCCAAUAAAAUUAUCUUCUUCCCAAAUCUUAACCUGCUACAUGUGAUUUCUAUCUUGCUGGCUGUCAGUUGAUUUUGAGGAGUGGCCAAAGAGGAGAGUGGAAGAAGGUCUCCUGACUGAGAGAAACGCUGGAUUUGGUCCUGCAGUUAAUCAGAAUCCUGCGAUGGAGGCUGAAUGUGAGAUCCAGUGGCAGAGUCUGAUAUGUACAGAGAAUGACAAAAUGGUUGAGUAAGUGCAGACAGUCUUUUAAAUACAGUGGAUAUCUUAGCAUGCACAUUUGUCACGCAGAACUUCUGCAUGAAUGAUGGAGCUGAUAGGGUUUCAAUCAAUGUUUGAAAGCAAUUACAUUUCUCUCUGCCUUAUUGCUUAUGACAGCGAGGGCUAAGAAGCCUCGUCUGUUUCCAUUCUGUCCCCGAGGCACAGAUCCCAGGGAGAAGCCAGACCGCAGUGCUUGCCUUGUGCAGGUUCCUGUAGCCUGGCUGUCUGCAGCUCUCGUCCUGCCACAUGAAUGGAAAUGGCUUGGAUGCAGUAAAUAGUCUGGUACACACUGGCAGCUGCGAGCAAUGAACUGACAAGUGAUUUAUUCAAAAGGAGACAUCCAACACUCCAAAGACGCUUGCUUCCCAGACACACUUGGACUGACACAGGGUAUGGCUCUGUAGCCCUUUGCUCGGAGUACCCAGGUGGAGUGGUCUGUGCUGGCUGCUGCUUGAGAGACUUCCAAACUACCCUGGACUCAGAGAAACUGUGCUAUCUCCAGCAGGCGUUCAGAGGAAAAGGCAGCCUUCCAGUCUUCAAGAACACAAGAUUUGCCUUCACUGAAUUUGAACUAAAAAGCAGAAUCUCUUUUGUGCCUCGUGGAGCUGCUUACUGAGCGGCAAAGUUAAUUAUUUAAGCCCCUGUUUGUUGAGACUUCUCUCUGUUCUACAUAAUAAAUGUCUUUUCUUCAUGACUAUGGCA
rnacentral:lncRNA from 1 species